rnacentral:tRNA from 1 species
GGGUCCAUAGCUCAGUGGUAGAGCAAUUGACUGCAGAUCAAUAGGUCACCGGUUCGAACCCGGUAUUUCCCU